rnacentral:rRNA from 1 species
GGGAGUCAGACUGCACGAGAUAAGUUGGGUAGUCGAAAGGGAAAGAGCCCAGACCUACAGCUAAGGCCCCAAAAUGUAUGUUAAGUGGAAAAGGAUGUGGGAUUUCAAAGACAACUAGGAUGUUGGCUUAGAAGCAGCCAUACAUUCAAAGAGUGCGUAAUAGCUCACUAGUCGAGAGGUCCUGCGCCGAAAAUGUCCGGGGCUGAAACAUACUGCCGAAGCUUAGGAAUCAGAAAUGAUUGGUAGAGGAGCAUUGGAUACUGGAGGAAGCAGUACUGAAAAGAGCUGUGGACGGUAUCGAAGAGAGAAUGCCGGAAUGAGUAGCGAGAGGAAGGUGAGAAUCCUUCCGGCCGAAUAUCCAAGGUUUCCAGGGUAAAGCUGAUCUGCCCUGGGGAAGUCGGGACCUAAGCCGAGGCCGAGAGGCGUAGGCGAUGGACAACAGGUUGAGAUUCCUGUACUGGUUUGAUUUGUUUGAACGAUGGAGGGACGCAGGAGGCUAGAGAUGCGUGCUGUUGGAUAUGCACGUCCAAGCAACAAGUCUGAUGAUGAGUCAAAUGCUUAUCGUCUUAAGGACAAGUUGUGACGGGGAGCGAAAUUAAAGUAGCGAAGUGAUCGAUGUCACACUGCCGAGAAAAGCUUCUAGUUAGAAUCAGACCACCCGUACCGCAAACCGACACAGGUAGUCGAGGCGAGUAGCCUAAGGUGAGCGAGAGAACUCUCGUUAAGGAACUCGGCAAAAUGACCCCGUAACUUCGGGAGAAGGGGUGCUGCACAAUGUGCAGCCGCAGUGAAUAGGCCCAGGCGACUGUUUAUCAAAAACACAGGUUUCUGCAAAAUCGUAAGAUGAAGUAUAGGGGCUGACGCCUGCCCGGUGCUGGAAGGUUAAGAGGAUGGGUUAGCGUAAGCGAAGCUCAGAAUUGAAGCCCCAGUAAACGGCGGCCGUAACUAUAACGGUCCUAAGGUAGCGAAAUUCCUUGUCGGGUAAGUUCCGACCCGCACGAAAGGCGUAACGAUCUGGGCACUGUCUCAACGAGAGACUCGGUGAAAUUAUAAUACCCGUGAAGAUGCGGGUUACCCGCGACAGGACGGAAAGACCCCAUGGAGCUUUACUGUAGCUUGAUAUUGGGUGUUUGUACAACUUGUACAGGAUAGGUAGGAGCCGUAGAAGUCGGAACGCUAGUUUCGAUCGAGGCGCUGGUGGGAUACUACCCUCGUUGUAUGAACACUCUAACCCUCGCCGCUUAUCGCGGCGGGAGACAGUGUCAGGUGGGCAGUUUGACUGGGGCGGUCGCCUCCUAAAAGGUAACGGAGGCGCCCAAAGGUUCCCUCAGAAUGGUUGGAAAUCAUUCGCAGAGUGUAAAGGCAUAAGGGAGCUUGACUGCGAGACCUACAAGUCGAGCAGGGACGAAAGUCGGGCUUAGUGAUCCGGUGGUUCCGCAUGGAAGGGCCAUCGCUCAACGGAUAAAAGCUACCCUGGGGAUAACAGGCUUAUCUCCCCCAAGAGUCCACAUCGACGGGGAGGUUUGGCACCUCGAUGUCGGCUCAUCGCAUCCUGGGGCUGUAGUCGGUCCCAAGGGUUGGGCUGUUCGCCCAUUAAAGCGGUACGCGAGCUGGGUUCAGAACGUCGUGAGACAGUUCGGUCCCUAUCCGUCGCGGGCGUAGGAAAUUUGAGAGGAUCUGUCCUUAGUACGAGAGGACCGGGAUGGACAUACCGCUGGUGUACCAGUUGUUCUGCCAAGGGCAUCGCUGGGUAGCUAUGUAUGGAUGAGAUAAACGCUGAAAGCAUCUAAGUGCGAAACUCACCUCGAGAUAAGAUUUCCCAUUCCUUUAUGGAAGUAAGACCCCUGAGAGAUGAUCAGGUAGAUAGGAUGGAAGUGGAAGUACGGCGACGUAUGGAGCGGACCAUUACUAAUCGGUCGAGGACUUAACCAA